GACGAACGCUGGCGGCGUGCUUAACACAUGCAGGUCGAACGGAAAGGCCCUGCUUUUGUGGGGUGCUCGAGUGGCGAACGGGUGAGUAACACGUGAGUAACCUGCCCUUGACUUUGGGAUAACUUCAGGAAACUGGGGCUAAUACCGGAUAGGAGCUCCUGCUGCAUGGUGGGGGUUGGAAAGUUUCGGCGGUUGGGGAUGGACUCGCGGCUUAUCAGCUUGUUGGUGGGGUAGUGGCUUACCAAGGCUUUGACGGGUAGCCGGCCUGAGAGGGUAACCGGCCACAUUGGGACUGAGAUACGGCCCAGACUCCUACGGGAGGCAGCAGUGGGGAAUAUUGCACAAUGGGCGGAAGCCUGAUGCAGCAACGCCGCGUGCGGGAUGACGGCCUUCGGGUUGUAAACCGCUUUCGCCUGUGACGAAGCGUGAGUGACGGUAAUGGGUAAAGAAGCACCGGCUAACUACGUG
rnacentral:rRNA from 1 species